rnacentral:sRNA from 1 species
AUAUCGGAAGAGCUGUGGGCAUUCUCUUGCCAGAGGUGCCCUGUCUCCAGGGCGCCUCAGCCUCCCCCAAAUGUCUUCUGCUCCCAGGUCCAUCCAAGCUGAGCAAUCGCGCUGACUCAAGAAGAAGCCUUUGGGACCAAGGAAACUUUCCCCUGAUCAUCAAGAAUCUUAAGAUAGAAGACUCAGAUACUUACAUCUGUGAAGUGGAGGACCAGAAGGAGGAGGUGCAAUUGCUAGUGUUCGGAUGUGAGUGGGGCAGGUGGGGAUGAGGAUACCUCCUGCCUGGUUCCCUUCCCCUCUACUCCCACCUCUGCACCAAAUCCAGCCUGAGCUGGUGAUACCGCAGCAGCCCCAAGAGGACCAGGCUGUCAAACUGGCCUCCAAAUCUCUAAAACCCUUCUUGAUCAGUGACUGCCAACUCUGACACCCACCUGCUUCAGGGGCAGAGCCUGACCCUGACCUUGGAGAGCCCCCCUGGUAGUAGCCCCUCAG